rnacentral:rRNA from 1 species
CCUACGGGAGGCAGCAGUAGGGAAUAUUGGACAAUGGGCGCAAGCCUGAUCCAGCCAUGCCGCGUGGAGGAAGACGGCCCUCUGGGUUGUAAACUCCUUUUAUACAGGAAGAAACCUCCCCAUUUAUGGGUGAGCUGACGGUACUGUAGGAAUAAGCACCGGCUAACUCCGUGCCAGCAGCCGCGGUAAU